AAACAAUGAAAUUCAAACAGUACCUAGAUAGAACAGUGUUUUGGGGUUUUUCUAUUGUUUUUGUGUUUGUUUUUGGAUUUUUUUGGGGGAUUUUAUAUUGUUUUUGGGUUUUCUGAUUUGAAUUUCAAAAUCAGAUCUAAAGUUAAAAGAGAAGAAGGCCUUUUGAAGGAUCCUGAUGGUUGGAAUGGGGUUGGGAGUUUU
rnacentral:lncRNA from 1 species